GCUGAAAGCAUCUAAGCGCGAAGCAGGCCUCGAGAUGAUUUCUCACUAGAGCUAUAAGCUCUCUGAAGGGCCGUUGGAGACUACAACGUUGAUAGGCAAGGUGUGGAAGCAUAGUGAUAUGUUAAGCUAACUUGUACUAAUUACCCGUGAGGCUUAACCAUACAACGCCAAACGCGUUU
rnacentral:rRNA from 1 species